UACGUAGGGUGCAAGCGUUGUCCGGAAUUAUUGGGCGUAAAGAGCUCGUAGGCGGUUUGUCGCGUCUGCUGUGAAAACUCGGGGCUUAACCCCGGGCCUGCAGUGGGUACGGGCAGACUAGAGUGCGGUAGGGGAGACUGGAAUUCCUGGUGUAGCGGUGAAAUGCGCAGAUAUCAGGAGGAACACCGGUGGCGAAGGCGGGUCUCUGGGCCGAUACUGACACUGAGAGACGAAAGCUAGGGGAGCGAAUGGG
rnacentral:rRNA from 1 species